CCGGGCUCCCCAGCCACAGCUGCAUCCCGUGCCGAAGGAAGGAGCAGCUUUUCAGUAGGUUUUCCUGAGCCAUGGGCUGGCGGCUGGCCACGCUGCCGGCUCUGGUCCUGCGCCAGAGCUGACAUCCAGCAGACUUUGCUCUCCGGUGCCAGCAGCCGAGCGGCAAGGAGCGCUCCGGGACCCGGCUCGCCCAGCCUGCGGCGUUCUGGGCUGCGAGCUGCCCGGUGGAAGUCACGGCUGAGGAGAGCUCCUGUAAACAGCCUUACCUGCUCCUCACUGCCUGCCAAGUGUCGAGUGCUACUCGGUCAAACCCCCUUCCCAGAGAGCCUCCGGUCUGUUUCCUUGCAUAGCCGAUGCAUUGGGGAAUAUUUGUACAAGUGAUGGUUAUUCCUGCACCUCCUCAGAUGCCCUCCCCUCUCCUGCCUUCUAGAGCAUUGCUCUUUGCAUCUCAGUGGAUUUAUUCUCCUCCUUAUCUAAUUUUAAUUAAAGCUCCUAUCUCCCCCCACCACGUAAUCAACUGAAGAAAAAUGAGCUGUAGCUCAAGGGACUCCAGCCCUGCUGGAGCAGGACAGGACCCAGUGACAGCCUGACAUUGCCCCAGAGGCUUCUUAACUCCUGGAUAACUUCAUCCUCAGCUGCUGAAGCUCUGCAGCAAUUUGAAAACGGAAUCCAGGAAAACAGUCACUCCAGAAAGCCAAAUCACUCCCAGUUUUCCUUUCAGACUGGCUCUGCUGCCCUUUUUACCCUGAAACACCACCCUCUACAGAGCCACAGCAGUAUUUACUGGCACGAGAUAUGCAUGGGAGUUCACAGAAUCAUGUAAUCUCCUGCACUGGAAGAGACCCACAAGCAUCAUCAAGUCCAUCUCCUGACCCUGCACAGGACAGCCCCAGAAUCACAGAGUGUUCCUGAGAGCAUUAGUCAAAUGCUUCUUGAGCCCUGUCAGGCUUGGUGCUGUGACCGUUUCCCUGAGGAACCUGUUCCAGUGCCCAGCUCCCCUCUGGGUUUGGGAAGCCCACUUGGAGUCCUGCAGCACCGCUCUGCAGCCCUGCCUCACCUGUGGGAAGCAAAUCCAGCUGCUGGGAGUCUGGCAGAGGGCAGGACUGAUCCUGUGCCACUGAUCCUGUGUGACACAAAUGCAUUUCUGUGCUUGGACUCUGAAGGACAGCUCUCCUGGCUGGGUUAAGGCUGUGCUGCCAGCAGUAGGAGAGUGAGCAGGCUAGCCAGCCACAUGUACUGGGUUAUAUUUCUGGGCUAAACUCCAGAGCCUUCAAUUUUAUUAUCUAAUUACCCAACCAAACUCAUUCAUCUUUAUUUUUCAGUCUUUCCCACAGAUCCCAGUUAAAAUGCAGCUUUGCUAUCUGAAGUGCUGCCCAGGCACUCUCUGCUUGGAAAAAUUCAUGGUUUCUCAGCUUUAUUCACUCAGACUGUGUUUUCUUAGUGUAAAGGAUGAAUGGCAGAAAUCCCAGCCCUGAUCAGCAGCAGAGGUCUACACCAGGCUGUGCUGAGAGGAAGGUGGCUGCAUUGUCAUGGGCAGCUGUACCAGGGGAAGCAAGAGAAAGAAAAUAAGCCUCUGCUUAAAUGUAGGCUUCAUCCCCAGUGAGACUUGUCAUUAGAUUGCACUCAGGGCUUUGUGGCAUGGCUCACUGCAAUGUCUUCAUUGCAAAGUAUAAACACCAAGAGUUAGUAAAUAAAAGCAACAGGGGGAAAAACUGCACUCCAGAAAUUAAUGAAACAUCAGGAAUACAUCCCUGGACAAUGGAGUCCAAGGGGGAAGAAUACUGGUGUCCCAUCCUUUUUCUCUGCAGGACAUGAGCCCUCCUCUCCAUAUGUUACUGUCGUGUAGAUGUAAUCCGUGUCCCAUGCUGGGGCAGAGCCUCCUGCUUAGCAUAACCCUGCCCCUGGGAGGGGCUUAUCUUGAAAAUAUACUCUCUUUUCUGUGCUCCUUGCCUUUAUUUCCUAAGGGAAUGCACAUGCUGGCAGGUUCGGGGGG